rnacentral:lncRNA from 1 species
UUUAAUUUUAAAUGAUAAUAAAAUAUAUAAAUGUUAUCUUUUUUGUGUCUCACAGUGGAGGAAAUGACACAAUAUUCAUCUAUCUGGCAGAUCAUGGUGGUUCAGGCAUAUUUACUUUUCCUAACAGCACUCUUCACGCCCAUGAUUUCAUUGAAACAAUCAAGGAAAUGGCAAGAGAUAACAAGUUCUCAAAGAUGGUGAUAUACAUGGAAUCCUGUCAUUCCGGAUCGAUGUUCACCAAACUUCCUAACGACCUUCAUGGUAAGAAGGGGAAUUAUAUUAAACUAUAAUGAAAUUAUAUAUUUUAUAUAUAUAUACAUACACACACUGUGUUUUCUAGUGUAUGCUGUGACUGCAGCGAGAGCAGAUGAGAGCAGUUAUGCCUGUUAUUUUGACAUUAAGAGGGAGACCUUUCUCUCUGAUGAAUUCUCAGCUCUUUGGAUGUGCUACAUGGAAGCGGUUUGUCUUAGUGUGAUUUGAGUCAAAUAUAGAAUUAUGCUAUCAAAUAAGACUAUAAAUAAAAAACAUUUUAUUUCUCAGAAUGACCUUGAUAAUAAAACAUUCCGGGAUCAGUUUAGUUAUCUUCAGGAAGAGAUGACGAAGUCUCACUCCGGGCGUUUUGGGGACAUGAAAAUGGGUGAACAUCCAAUCAGUGAGUUUGUGAAUAACACCCCUCGAAGAGUUCGGGACGAGACAAGAGCUCAGCGGUUUGCGUUAACUCAUUUGACCUCUAACCAUGAAGUGCCAUUCAAAAUCUUGGAACACCGAAUUAGAACAGAAACUCAUACAGGCAGGAGACAACGUCUGAAAAGAAAACAUGAAGCUCUUCGUCAGGCUAAAGCUCAAAUUGAAGGAACAGUUGAAGCUAUCAGUCAGCAAUUUGGUUUUAAACAUGAUGAUUUGGAUGAAGAUUAUUGUAAGAUGGAUUUACGUGCACUCAAAAGUGUAGCUGAGCAUUUCAAGGCAACCUGUUUUGACUGGGACAAGGAAGAGAGUUUCACACAUUUCCAUAUCGCCUCGUCACACAUGCAUGUAUUUGCUUGUCUUUGUGCACAUGGAGUUGCAGCAGAGAGGUGGGUCCAUCACAACACUAUUCAGCAUCAUUUUGUUUAUUGUUAUAAUUUAACAGUCUGCAUUAACUUACAUUUGAUCUUAAAUCACUAAAUAUGUUUUUCUGUAACAGGAUCAUAGAGGUCAUAACAAAAGUCUCCAGGAAAAGGUGAAGGAAGCUCCAGGAAGGAUAUUAACAACAUCCUUAAGAGCUUAUGAAAUUUUGAUCAAUCUCAUCCUAACAUGUGAAACUAUUGAAAUGUGCUCGUAGAUAAUAACUUUGGUUAAAAGUAGAAAGUGCAAAAAUUGAGUUAUUCACAUAUUCUUAUUCAGUGACAAUUUAUUUACAUUGUGAUGUAUUUUUCUUCAUGCUGUACAUUUUGGGACUUGUUUUAGAAAACAAAAAGCUUCAAACUACAAAGUCAAAUGAAAUGCAAAAACUUUGAAGCUCAACAGGGCCAGACAUUAUGUACUUGUCCGAGUAAAAAAGUUACUUGCCCGGGGUUCUUUUUCCUUUCUUUUUUCUUUGGCGCAAAUGUAAUUUAUUCUAACGCAAUAGUCUCAUCAGUGCUCUAUCAGGUAUUACUUUAAUCAGCAUAUUUGUGAUAUCUGCCUUAAAUUGAUUGCUGUUACACUUUAUGAAGAACAAUAUUUUCCUAAGCUGAUUAAAUGUCA